UACCAGCUCUUCGAGUGGUGUGGAUGUUUAUUGGGCCUAAAGCAUCCGUAGCUGGCUGGGCAAGUCCCCUGUUAAAUCCACCGAUUUAAUCGUUGGAGUGCGGGGGAUACUGUUCGGCUAGGGGACGGGAGAGGCAGACGGUAUUUUCGGGGUAGGGGUGAAAUCCUAUAAUCCCGGGAAGACCACCAGUGGCGAAGGCUGUCUGCUAGAACGCGCCCGACGGUGAGGGAUGAAAGCUGGGGGAGCGAACCGGAUUAGAUACCCGGGUAGUCCCAGCUGUAAACGAUGCAGGCUAGGUGUUUGGGCGGCCACGUGCCGCUCUAGUGCCGCAGGGAAGCCGUUAAGCCUGCCGCCUGGGGAGUACGGCCGCAAGGCUGAAACUUAAGGAUUGGGCGGGGAGCACCACAAGGGGUGAAGCUUGCGGUUU
rnacentral:rRNA from 1 species